GAAAAAGUCCGCCAGGGUCGUUGCAAAAUUUUUCCACUGGAGCCAAAGCCACGUUUCUGUUAACGAUUACUCCGCUAAUUGCAGAAUUUAUGAAUUUCUUGUACACGAAUUUCGGGGCUGCUAUAAACUACGAGGGUUUGAGUGGAAAAAGUUGGCCUGAACUUCUCAAAGAAUUUUUCCACCUUGUCAACGAAUGGAAAAUCAUCGCCGUACAACCUUGAAGCCGGACUCGCAUGGCCGGAAAUAUUUCAGUUUCCGGUAAUAGUGAUCCAAUAACGCGAGAGCAUCACUGAUGGACUUUGCACCAUUAACUGUGAUCUUGCCGUUGCGGUACACUUGGCAGUGCGAUUUGUAAGGACGAAUGGAACGGAGAAGAAGCCCGGAAAACUUAUGUGGUGCAUAAUGAGCAAGCGGAGCGCGUUCGGAUAAGCUGGGUAAGUCAAUUGCGCAGCCAAGGUCAGCAGUUGCAACAACGUUAGUUAUUUUCGCCAUUCAGCCAAUUUGCAAAUGUCUCCGCUUUUGAAAGCGUUGUUUGUGGUAAUGAAGUAAGCUCCUUAAACUUCGGGCACCCAAUGUCUUCAAGAUUAAACACUUCAGGCAAAUAAUUUUCCAAAAUCUUUUG